ACGGCCACCUCACGUUGAAACACUUUUUCCCGUACGAUUACCGAAGUUAAGCAACGUCGAGCCUGGUCAGUACUUAGACGGGUGGCCGCUUAAGAAUACCAGGUGACGUAAG